rnacentral:lncRNA from 1 species
CGCCAACCCCGUGCUGGGCUGAUUGCCGAGGGGCCUGCUGAAGACUGAGGACGGAGGUGGGGGCAACAGGAUGGGGAGCCCGCAAUAGCCCAUCCUGACCUAAUCCGAAAGGACGAGAUCCUGGAGCCGCUCACAAAGUUUUCCGGGCCCCCUCCCACGCGUCGCCUGCACGUAUGUCCGUUUCCCGACGCUCCGCCCUCCCCCGCCAAGUUCGGCGUCUCCCAGCUCAGCGGCAGUCAGGGUGCAGAGGGAGCCCGACCUUGUCCCCGCCUCGGCCCGUCCCGCUUCUUCUGAAGCUUGUUUCAUUUUUAACUCCUUCCAGAAAAAUGUUGUUUUAAGGAAAAUCUCAAAGGAACAAAAAGCCAAUAGUGCCUUCCUUAUUUGCAAUCCCCACCCACCUCUGAGCUCGGACUGCAAGGGCCUCAAGGGACACCAGGUGACACCUGGGCCUUGCUUCUCACGGGUGACCUUGGACCAGAAAGGGUCAUUUUCAGGUGUGUUUUAUACCCCCCACCUGCCUACUUCUGGCAGGGAAUAGGGGGUCCAGUCCCCUCCCCUAUGAGAAGGGGCCCCUCUGGGCUCUCCUUCUUCGCCGGAAAGUGAACAGCUGCUCCUGCCCUGCUUGGAGGAGUGGCUGUGGAAACCCACUGUAAGCUGUAAGGAGCAGGAGCCACCAUCAUAAAUGCAAGAGAAAUUCCAAGUUGAGGUUUUUGAGAACAAGUAAGACUUUGCCCACAAAAAGGUGCAUCUUCCUUCAAAGUCAUAACUUGGCUGGAAGAGGGGAAACCUCUUGCCCAAGGCGGUGCCUUCCCCAACCAUGCUCCUUAAGAAUGUUUUUCCUACAUGUGCAGCAACUGAGGCUUCUUCCUUGAAUUUUCAAGAGGCAGGCGUCAUUUUGAGCAGUCUGGUGAAUGCACGAGGGUCUGGUGGGCUACAAAAACAAGAUAGGACAAUAAAGAAAACAAGGCAGUGUUCACUUUGUGGCCUCAGACCUAUGAUCCCUGCAGAGCUCCCAGAGUUGCUCAAGGGAUGCUUUCCAGUAAGUGACCAAAUGCCCACCUUGGCCAGGUGCCGUGGCUCACACCUGUAAUCCCAGCGCUUUGGGAAGAUGAAACGGAUGGAUCACCUGCUAGGGAGGCCCUGGCUUAUGCCUGUCAUCCCAGCACUUUGGGAGGCUGAGAUGGGUGGAUCAUCUGAGGUCAUGAGUUCGAGACCAGCCCCAGCAACAUGUUGAAACCCUGUCUCUACUAAAAAUACAAAAAUUAUCUGGGCAUGGUGGCACGUGCCUUGGUGGCAUAUACCUGUAGUCCCAGCUACUCGAGAGACUGAGGCAUGACAAUCACUUGAACCUGGGAGGCCGAGGUUGCAGUGAGCUGAGAUCAUGCCACUGCACUCCAGCCUGGGUGACAAAGUAAGACUCCAUCUCAAAAAAAAAAAAAAAGAAAAGAAAAAGAAAAAACAAAUGCCCACCUUUUCCCCUUCCAGGCACACACACAUCACUUACUUUAAAUGACAACAGUCACUUGAAUAUAUACGAUCUGGAAUGAGUGGUUUUUGUUUACUGCUUUAUUACUUGAAACUCCCAGUCCCUACUGUGGAGAAUUUGCAUCAGCCUAUGAGGAGCAGUCAUUUUGGGGAGGGAUGAUUUAUCCCUUCAGCUUUUCCCCAGAGAAUAAGUUCACUGCUUUGUUCCUGUGUUUAUUCAACAUUUAUUUAUGAUUUUGCACUUACUGUGUGCCAAGACUGAGGGUAAAACAAUGAAUGAGAAAGAUCGCAGUUCCUCCCUGUUGGGGCUUGCCCUCUAGUUGUAGGGGGUAAGGGGGGUGGCUGACUUAAUAAAUGGCCACGCAAGGCCAGUCGCGGUGGCACACAUCUGUAAUCUCAGCACUUUGGGAGGCUGAGAUGGGUGGAUCACUUGAGGUCUGGAGUUCGAGACCAGCCUGGCCAACAUGGUGAAAGUCUCUACUAAAAAUACAAAAAUUAGCUGGGCGUGGUGGUGGGUGUCUGUAAUCCCAGCUACUCAGGAGACUGAGGCAUGAGAAUUGCUUGAGCCCAGGAGGCAGAGGUUGCAGUGAGCCAGGAUCACGCCACUGCACUCCAGCCUGGGCAACAGAGUGAGACUCUGUCUCAAAUAAAUAAAUAAAUAGCCACAAAAAUAAUUAUUUACUUAUAGUUUUGAUCAAUCCUGAGAAGAAAUUAAAAUAUAGUACAAAGAGGCCACAAAACAGAGUCUCAAAGGUGGUCUGCUGAGAGCCCUAUGGAGGAGGAGGAAGGAGCCAAGCGGGGGGAUGGAGAAUAGAGUUCCCAGCUGUGAACAGUGUGUGCAAAGGGCCUGGGGCACAAAGGAGCUGGAGGCUUCUCAGCGAGAGUUGUCACAGCUCAGGCAAAGGCCACCAUGGCCAGGCUUAGGAGCCAAUUCCAUCCAUUUUCCAGUCCAGCUUCCCUCACCACCUAGCUGAAGAACCCGGAGCAAGGGAGCCCGUGUUCCAGUUUUGCAUCUGCAAAAUGAGAAAACGGAUAGCACGGAUCUCAUAGGGUGGUCCUGAGGGUUUCUCAUCUGUCCAUGCUGCCUGUCUGGCCACAAGACAGCAGUCAUCUGGCCUUCGCUGUCCUCCCUUACCUUUUCUCUCUCACCUUCACCACCUCCGAGGUCAAUCAUGUUCAUAGAGAUGCCAGUUACACAACUGCAGAUCCCCUCCUUGCACCAAUAAGUUCC